AGAGUUUGAUCAUGGCUCAGGAUGAACGCUGGCGGCGUGCUUAACACAUGCAAGUCGAACGAUGAUCCCAGCUUGCUGGGGGAUUAGUGGCGAACGGGUGAGUAACACGUGAGUAACCUGCCCUUAACUCUGGGAUAAGCCUGGGAAACUGGGUCUAAUACCGGAUAUGACUCCUCAUCGCAUGGUGGGGGGUGGAAAGCUUUAUUGUGGUUUUGGAUGGACUCGCGGCCUAUCAGCUUGUUGGUGAGGUAAUGGCUCACCAAGGCGACGACGGGUAGCCGGCCUGAGAGGGUGACCGGCCACACUGGGACUGAGACACGGCCCAGACUCCUACGGGAGGCAGCAGUAAGGAAUAUUCCACAAUGGGCGAAAGCCUGAUGGAGCGACGCCGCGUGAAGGAUGAAGCCUUUCGGGGUGUAAACUUCUUUUCUUUGGGAUGACACUCCCCUUCGGGGGAUACGACAGUACCAGAGGAAUAAGCAUCGGCUAACUACGUGCCAGCAGCCGCGGUAAUACGUAGGAUGCAAGCGUUGUCCGGAUUUACUGGGCGUAAAGCGCGCGCAGGUGGCAUGGCAAGUAAGGUGUGAAAUCUCCCUGCUCAACGGGGAGGGAGCGCUUUAGACUGCCAAGCUAGAGGACGGUAGAGGGGGGUGGAAUUGCUGGUGUAGCGGUGAAAUGCGUAGAGAUCAGCAGGAACACCCGUGGCGAAGGCGGCCCCCUGGGCCGUACCUGACGCUGAGGCGCGAAGGCUAGGGGAGCGAACGGGAUUAGAUACCCCAGUAGUCC
rnacentral:rRNA from 1 species